UACGGAAGUCAGCAGUAGGGAAUCUUCCGCAAUGGACGAAAGUCUGACGGAGCAACGCCGCGUGAACGAUGAAGGCUUUCGGGUCGUAAAGUUCUGUUGUUAGGGAAGAACAAGUACCAGAGUAACUGCUGGUACCUUGACGGUACCUAACCAGAAAGCCACGGCUAACUACGUGCCAGCAGCCGCGGUAAUACGUAGGUGGCAAGCGUUGUCCGGAAUUAUUGGGCGUAAAGCGCGCGCAGGUGGUUCUUUAAGUCUGAUGUGAAAGCCCACGGCUCAACCGUGGAGGGUCAUUGGAAACUGGGGAACUUGAGUGCAGAAGAGGAAAGUGGAAUUCCACGUGUAGCGGUGAAAUGCGUAGAGAUGUGGAGGAACACCAGUGGCGAAGGCGACUUUUCUGGUCUGUAACUGACACUGAGGCGCGAAAGCGUGGGGAGCGAACAGGGAUUAGAUACCCGU
rnacentral:rRNA from 1 species